GCAUGAUAUAUGUCCGAUGAAGACGGCCCGAACCCGCACAAGCGCCCCGGUCCAGAUCCCCGCCGUCGCUCCCGGAUCCCGGCGCCCUCCUGGCUCCCAUCUCGCAUCGCCCCUGCAACUCAACUCCGGCGGCCCUCCCUCCAUCCCGCACCACCCCUGGCCACCCUCCACCUCGCACCACCUUGCCACUGGCCUACCCUCCCUGCACUGCCCCCUGGCCACCACGGCACCCAGGUCGUUCACCGCCGGCACCACAGUCCGUUCACCGCUGACACACGAGGCCGUUCAACGACGCAAUGAGGUGGGGUAGUUGGAAGGGUGGGGAAGCUCGUUGCCUUGCCGUGGUUCUAGCGGGAGACGGGUGGGCUGGUGUACACAGAGGAUAGAGGCCUUGGCCCUGUACGUCCAGGUUUGUAUCGAUACUCCGGCCAACUCCAUUGAUCUUCUCAGUAAAUGCUCCACUGGUAACUCCAUUCAAAAUUUUGUCAAGUUUGAUUGCCAUGCUCUAGCCUCACAUCACAUUUUGUUCCAGUUCUGCUCAUACUAUAAGUUUGUUAAAACCUACCUAAUAUAUAGCUAAUUCAACAUCCGUCAUUUCUGUUGUAUUUGUGUGCCCACACCCGCAUAUGUUUGUACAAAAAAGAAAAUGAAUGUUAGAGUGGGUGAUUAAACAACUCAAUGUUCUUCUGUUAUUCGAGUAGGCACCUGAAAAAAAAAAGUUCACCUUGGUUAGAUGAACCAAAUGGGCUGUGUAGUUCUUCUGUUAUUUGACGAGGCACCUGAAAAAAACUAAGCAGAAUAAAUAAGAUGGCAGUAACAACCGGGUUGACUUUUUGUAAUUUUCUGUGUAUGAUUGCAGUACUUUUUGUAAGAAAACACAUGGUACUUUGUAAAAAAACACUCCGAAUCUAUUUGGACUGAUCGUCCGACUUCUUUCAUAUAGAAGGUUCAAAAAGUUUUGCUCCUGAAAUUGCACAUAUUUAGAGUAUGCGAAUAUAUUAUGCAUUUCUUAAUUUUGCUCUUGUGUAACAGUUCAACAUGUCUUAUGUCAUCAAUUCAUAAUGAAAAAAGAAGGAAUAGUUCAAAACGUGUGUGUUAAAAACAGAACAGUAUAGAUAAACUUCCGUAUCAGUUCGAUGGAAUAAAUCACAUCAGUUCUGACUCGGAUCGGCUGUUGCCUACAAUGCAUUGAAAAUAAAAUUUUCAAUCAAAUCAAUCUAGUUGUUCUAUAUUGGCUUAAAGUUUUCAUAUCUUUUAUCUUACCGAUGAUGCUUUGAACUGAACAAGAGCGCUGGGUAAUAAGUGUGCCUUUGGUUUAAUACUAAAAGAUCUGUUCGCUGACUUAUAGUAGCAAAAUCUCAUGGAAGUGUGUGCUGGUGGCUUCAAUUAAUUUUACGCUUGCAUACAGGAUGGUGGCAGUGGUGGCGCAGAAUUGGAGAAAGAAAAAGAGGAAAGCCGCCCAAAAAACUAACAUUUUUUCAUGUUUCUCUCUAGCUGAAAUAAAGCAAGACUGAUGUACUACACUUCAUCUCUCUGCACAGCAGGUUCAUGUACAUUGACGACGUCGCCAUGCGUGCACGCUCCAACCUGUCCCGUGUCGCAGCCCCACCACUCGUUGACGAUGCACUCCAACCCCGAGGACCUCCAUGAUGGAGGUCGCCUCGCAGCCUAGAGGCGAGUGUUUGUUGGUUUCUCUUGCAUUUACGGACAUCUUGGGAUUGCUAGGUGCAGAAUCAAGAAGCCCAAUCAUCAUUAGGGAUGAAAAAAAGAGAGAAGCACGGGAAGAGGUACUAGUAGAAGAGGAAGAAGUAAUGUGAAAAAUGAGAUAAAUGUGAGAAUAGCAAGUAGUAAAGCUUGAGAGGGAUUCAGAUUUUGUUUUCACAUUCUUGUUGUACACGUACCUUUGGUCUGUAGAUGCACCGUAAUGGAUCUAGGAAGUAUGAAUGGUUAAUACAUCAAUGGUGCACUAUGCAUCUUUGGCAGGUUUUUAUGCAUUUUUAAAUGGUUGUGGAGCAA